rnacentral:rRNA from 1 species
UACGGAGGGUGCAAGCGUUAUCCGGAUUCACUGGGUUUAAAGGGUGCGUAGGAGGGCAGGUAAGUCCGUGGUGAAAUCCUAGAGCUUAACUCUAGAACUGCCGUGGAUACUAUCUGUCUUGAAUCCCGUGGAGAUGAGCGGAAUAUGUCAUGUAGCGGUGAAAUGCUUAGAUAUGACAUAGAACACCAAUUGCGAAGGCAGCUCGUUACACGAAGAUUGACUCUGAGGCACGAAAGCGUGGGGAGCAAACAGG